AGUUUCUACUUAGGUUAAAUUAUAGUUUUUAUUUUUUCUAAUUGUAAAAGUAAAAUAGGAUCAUUAUGAAGCACUUGGGAAAAAAUAAGAAUAUAAAGAAUAAAAAUUACCUAUAAUUCUGUCACCUAGAGAUUAUAGUAGUUAAGUCUUAAAACCUCAUUUAUGCUAUCACUUUAGAAUUUCGAAAAGAUUUUAUUUUUGCAAUGGUAGUAUCAGGCAGAAAUCACUCAUCUAAUUGCUGAAUUAGAGGAGGGAUCCAUACAGUCUUGCUAAACCUGCCUGAAUGUUUCCUGUAGAAAAUUAGCUUUGGUGAUAUUGCACCUUGUUAUCAGAAUUCAAGAGAAGGGUAGGAAUGCUGAGAGGUGAAGAAGAAGGGAGCUGGGAGGAUGGACCAGGCAGCCAGCAAAUCCUCCACUGUGUGGUAUCAGAGCAAGCAGAGGAAUGUGUGUGAUCAAACUGGCCUGCAGAGAAAGCGCCCUUCAUUUCUGCGCUGAUGCUGAGCCCUGGCAGAGCAGGGAGGCCAGCCGGGACCCGAGCACCUGCGCUGUACAGUUUGCGAGAGUGGUUUUCCCAGGGACUCGAAUCCUCAGGGUGCACGCUUAGCACAGAGCCUGGCUGUCAGUUCACCGCUCUGAGCUUCCGCCGGCAGCAGUCCUGAAGUCUCCCGUUUACCACCACAGACUCCAUUUCCUCCCUCCUCAUCAGGAGCAUCAGGUGAGGAGUUCCCGUCGUCCCUUCUUUCCUCCAGACCUGCAUACGAGCUGGGCUCCCAGAGGCCAUGGCACCGAGUGGGUCUAACAUCUCCCCAUGUCACUGCGCCAUCUCCACCUUAAGGGGGCCACGUAAUGGGGGGUCCAGUGCCAAACAGAAACUUGGGCCCCGUGUUCACAAAUGAAGGAUUUUAAGCCAGUGUAAUCCAAGCAUCAGAACAGGUAUGGGCCCACGGGGCUGGCUCUGCGCAACAGGCUGCCUGCAGACCAGAGGCGGCCAGUCUUGGGGGGCCCCGUGGGUCGUCCCCUGGCACUCACCAUCCGUACGGGUGACCUGUCUUUGUCGGGGACAAGGUGCUCUUGGAGAGGACCUGGAUCACGAAGAACAAAACCGUUCCCUCUCCCGCUGCCCCGGCUCUUCACGGCCCUCUGACUGUCCUGACAGAGACGUAAACAAGGAGAAACAAAGCAACGUUUGUUAACGUGUGUAGGACGCUGACCUGUGGGAGCGCCCAGAGGCGAGGAGCUCCAGGGCCUGGUGAGAAGUCCUUAUGUAGCAUCUGAGCUGAGGAAGGGUAUGAUUUUAGAGAAGUGACAAGACAAAGGAAGAGGACUUGGGGUUUCUGGGAGACACGUUAUUAGAGAGCACACAUGUGGGAAGCUGACCAAUAACACACAGGAGCCAGUUAGGACGCUUUGUACCGCAGCUGCCUCUGGUGCCAUCUCUGGGCCAGUGCAGGGCUGAAAUUGGCC
rnacentral:lncRNA from 1 species